CAAACCAGUCGACUCAAAUCUUUGCUUCACGGCGUCACAGAAGUUUAGGGUUCGUCUUUGUUCUUCGUUCGAUCGCGACGUCUGACCUUGUCCAUCACCGAAACAGUCCCCUUUACAGAUUCUUCUUGUUAAAUCCCUUAUUAAUUCAAUCUAACCACAACCUCCACUACGCUGCAAUCAAGACGACCUCCACUACGCUGCUACCCAGCGAUGGAAACCUCCGCCGUUUUGACAUGCUCCUCUUCGAUGGCAACCUCAGCCAAAACAGCCUGUAAUGUGAAGAAAGGUGGCGAGCUCAUGGACGGUGUCAUGCUUCUCCUCGACUCCAAGGCGACACUCUUGGCAGCAAGUUCACCGUCUCACCACCUACAGACGUCACUUGAUGGUUCACUGGGUGUAAUCAGAAUUCUAGACUGUCAAUCUCUCCUCUAGUGAUUCAACCACUUUUGAUUAGUUAACCGAACCGUUUUCCCCAAUUCCAGAAGAACACUUCAGAUUCCGAAAUCACAGUCAGCUGCUUGGCCUAGCCAACACAAAUACCCAUCUUCCAGACAUUAUCGCUGAGACUGUGACCAUAGCUGAACUAAACGAGUUUAUCCUCAUUGCCCAGCGUCAGGGUGUACAAUAAUCUUUAGUGUGGUUGUAUUUUACAUUUUUAGAACUCUGUUUGUGAUUCUGUUAAUGUAAACUGUAGGUGGUUGAAUUUGUCUGCACCGGGCACUGGAUUUAACAUGGACAAAGGCUGGUGCUAUGUCUCUAACUCCAGAUGUACAAAGAAGUUUCAGCGGAUGGUCUCAUCCUUUACUUGCGCAACCUUCAAUAACACCACUCCAUUGGUGUCUUUCGACUAUUGUUGGUGAGACUGCUGAAAGUCUAUUUGUUGGUUUUGAUGGAGAAAUGCACAAGUUACAUAACAUCCGAGCUUAUGAAGCUGUGCAUCUUUUGACUGGAGAGGGAGAGAAUCCAGAGCACACACAGCUACCCCUUUUAUUGCACAGAUGGCUGGCAAGACUUACACCUUCCAGGCCAGAUUUUAACAGGAUGGUAACGAUGAUCAUGGCGAUGAUAUGCCUGGGAAUAUCUCAGGGCCUACUAAGGUGGACACUGAUGGUGACGACUGUGAGGAAGCACCGACUAUAGGAACUACUUCAACUGGUGUCGACACCAAUAAGCCUCCCGCAACAGCAACUUCCAAGGUUGCCAAGAAGGCACGCAUCGCAUACACCAAGAUCAUUAAGUUUUUCUACGCACUAUUUUUUGUUUGAAUAAUGCUUUUGGCACCAAUUUUGUAGUAGUAAUAUUAUACACCACACAAAUAUUAUUAUAAAAUA